GACGAACGCUGGCGGCGUGCCUAAUACAUGCAAGUAGAACGCUGAAGGAGGAGCUUGCUUCUCUGGAUGAGUUGCGAACGGGUGAGUAACGCGUAGGUAACCUGCCUGGUAGCGGGGGAUAACUAUUGGAAACGAUAGCUAAUACCGCAUAAUAGUAGAUGUUGCAUGACAUUUGCUUAAAAGGUGCAAUUGCAUCACUACCAGAUGGACCUGCGUUGUAUUAGCUAGUUGGUGGGGUAACGGCUCACCAAGGCGACGAUACAUAGCCGACCUGAGAGGGGGAUCGGCCACACUGGGACUGAGACACGGCCCAGACUCCUACGGGAGGCAGCAGUAGGGAAUCUUCGGCAAUGGAUGGAAGUCUGACCGAGCAACGCCGCGUGAGUGAAGAAGGUUUUCGGAUCGUAAAGCUCUGUUGUAAGAGAAGAACGAGUGUGAGAGUGGAAAGUUCACACUGUGACGGUAUCUUACCAGAAAGGGACGGCUAACUACGUG
rnacentral:rRNA from 1 species